UACGUAGGGUGCGAGCGUUGUCCGGAAUUACUGGGCGUAAAGAGCUCGUAGGUGGUUUGUCGCGUUGUCCGUGAAAACUCACAGCUUAACUGUGGGCGUGCGGGCGAUACGGGCAGACUGGAGUACUGCAGGGGAGACUGGAAUUCCUGGUGUAGCGGUGGAAUGCGCAGGAUAUCAGGAGGAACACCGGUGGCGAAGGCGGGGUCUCUGGGCAGUAACUGACGCUGAGGAGCGAAAGCGUGGGGAGCAAACAGG
rnacentral:rRNA from 1 species